AAACUAACAAGGAUUCCCCUAGUAGCGGCGAGCGAAGCGGGAAGAGCUCAAAUUUAUAAUCUGGCACCUUCGGUGUCCGAGUUGUAAUCUCUAGAAGUGUUUUCCGCGUUGGACCGCACACAAGUCUGUUGGAAUACAGCGGCAUAGUGGUGAGACCCCCGUAUAUGGUGCGGACGCCCAACGCUUUGUGAUACACUUUCGAAGAGUCGAGUUGUUUGGGAAUGCAGCUCAAAUUGGGUGGUAAAUUCCAUCUAAAGCUAAAUAUUGGCGAGAGACCGAUAGCGAACAAGUACCGUGAGGGAAAGAUGAAAAGCACUUUGGAAAGAGAGUUAACAGUACGUGAAAUUGUUGGAAGGGAAACGCUUGAAGUCAGACUUGCUUGCCGAGCAAUCGGUUUGCAGGCCAGCAUCAGUUUUCCGGGGUGGAUAAUGGUAGAGAGAAGGUAGCAGUUUCGGCUGUGUUAUAGCUCUUUGCUGGAUACACCUUGGGGGACUGAGGAACGCAGUGUGCCUUACGGCGGAUUUCUCGAGAUCUUCACACUUAGGAUGCUGGUGGAAUGGCUUUAAACGACCCGUCUU
rnacentral:rRNA from 1 species